rnacentral:rRNA from 1 species
UACGUAGGGUGCAAGCGUUGUCCGGAAUUACUGGGCGUAAAGAGUUCGUAGGCGGUUUGUCGCGUCGUUUGUGAAAACCAGCAGCUCAACUGCUGGCUUGCAGGCGAUACGGGCAGACUUGAGUACUGCAGGGGAGACUGGAAUUCCUGGUGCAGCGGUGAAAUGCGCAGAUAUCAGGAGGAACACCGGUGGCGAAGGCGGGUCUCUGGGCAGUAACUGACGCUGAGGAACGAAAGCGUGGGUAGCGAACAGG